rnacentral:lncRNA from 1 species
GUAUUUUGUUAAAUAUUAAGGAGUGAAAUUUUCAAGUGUUGUAGAGCAGGUGUCUGCUGCCUGUUUUGCCUUUGUGCUGUGGCAUACGAUAUAUAUUGUGUUACAUGCUGAGUCUAAUCAAAUUACAUUUAUAUUUUAAUACUUGAAAAGGGGUCAUUGUUCAGCUAAAAGCCUAGUCAGUAGCGAUAGUCUACAAUGCAUGUUAUGAUGCUGCUUAAACAUAUGUGAGGAGUCCAGGUAAUGAUAAUAGAUAGUAAGCAAAAAGUGAGGGGGUGCUUGUGAUUGCCUGAGGCGUAGUUGGAGCUAAUGGAAUGACAUUAUUCCCGCCCCCCCCGAAUUGUUAUCAAAAUUUCUUUAUGGAUCUUUAAGAAGUCAGACUACUUUUAAGGGCUGUAACCAUUAUAAUUACUUCUUUCUAAACAGUGUUUAAACAUAUACAUGCUCUGCAAAGCUGUCAUUAAGAUACUCUUGAACUCAUGAAAUAAUGAACAUGUUCUUCAUCACAACUGGAUUUUUCAGUGUCUUAGGACUGAAGAUAGCCAGAACAGGUCCUGUUUGAUGCUGGUCGGAGUGUUUGCAGAUGUUCUUUCACUGUAUAUUUCUCUCCUUUUCUGGAUGCCCAAUGUGAAAGUCAGGCUCUAAUCAGCAGAAGAUGAAAAAUUAGAUGCCUGCCUGUGAAGGUCCUGCCGCAUUACUUAACAGCGCAGAUGGAGAAUUCAGAUGCCUGACUGGAAGUAUGCAGCAGAGUAGUCUUAUCUCUUUGAAAUACAUUAUUUUUCCAUUUCACCUUCAGCUGAAUAAGAAUUGAAGCUUAUUUUUGGAUCCCUAAGUUACGAUUUUAUGCCUCACAGUCUCUACAACAAUUCUCCUGAAGUGUCAAAAACUUUGUUACUGCAAGGCCAAUAAAUUAUGCUCUUGUAUGUGAACGAACUGGUGA